rnacentral:rRNA from 1 species
AACGAACGCUGGCGGCAGGCUUAACACAUGCAAGUCGAACGCUCUACUUCGGUAGAGAGUGGCGCACGGGUGAGUAACGCGUGGGAAUAUGCCCUUUAGUACGGGAUAACAGUUGGAAACGAUUGCUAAUACCGUAUACGCCCUUCGGGGGAAAGAUUUAUCGCUAAAGGAUUAGCCCGCGUGAGAUUAGGUAGUUGGUAGGGUAAAGGCCUACCAAGCCUACGAUCUCUAGCUGGUCUGAGAGGAUGAUCAGCCACACUGGAACUGAGACACGGUCCAG